GUGCCAGCCGCCGCGGUAAUACGGAGGGUGCAAGCGUUGUUCGGAUUUACUGGGCGUAAAGCGCGCGCAGGCGGAUUGGCAAGUCAGAUGUGAAAUCUCGGGGCUCAACCCCGAAACUGCGUCUGAAACUGCUAGUCUAGAGUCUCAUAGGGGGCAGGGGAAUUUCACGUGUAGGGGUAAAAUCCGUAGAGAUGUGAAGGAACACCCGUGGCGAAGGCGCCUGCCUGGAUGAGUACUGACGCUGAGGCGCGAAAGCGUGGGGAGCAAACAGGAUUAGAAACCCUAGUAGUC
rnacentral:rRNA from 1 species